rnacentral:rRNA from 1 species
GAUGAACGCUGGCGGCGUGCUUAACACAUGCAAGUCGAACGAUUAAAGCCCCUUCGGGGGUGUAUAGAGUGGCGGACGGGUGAGUAACACGUGGGCAAUCUGCCCCUCACUUCGGGAUAACUCAGGGAAACUUGAGCUAAUACCGGAUACUCCGGGAUGGUCGCAUGGCCGACCCGGGAAAGCUCCGACGGUGAGGGAUGAGCCCGCGGCCCAUUAGCUUGUUGGUGAGGUAACGGCUCACCAAGGCAACGAUGGGUAGCGGAGCUGAGAGGCUGAUCGGCCACACUGGGACUGAGACACGGCCCAGACGCCUACGGGAGGCAGCAGUGGGGAAUUUUGCGCAAUGGGCGAAAGCCUGACGCAGCAACGCCGCGUGCGGGAUGAAGGCCUUCGGGUUGUAAACCGCUUUCAGCAGGGAUGAAACUGACAGUACCUGCAGAAGAAGCCCCGGCUAACUACGUGCCAGCCGCCGCGGUAACAC